rnacentral:rRNA from 1 species
GUCCUGGCCCUAAACGGUGCAUGUUUGCUGUAAGAGGAAUCGACCCCUUUUGUGGCGAAGCUAACGCGUUAAACGUGCCGCCUGGGAAGUACGGCCGCAAGGUUAAACUCAAAGAAUUGACGGGGCCUGCACAAGCGGUGGAGUAUGUGGCUCAAUUCGAUGCAACGCGAAGAACCUUACCUGGCCUUGACAUGUGCGUAGUAGAAGGGUGAAAGCCUGACGAGGUAGCAAUACCAGCGCACACAGGUGCUGCAUGGCUGUCGU